GGCUCCUCCUCCUCUCAAACACAAAGAAACCCUUUCACAUUUCAUCAUCUUCAUCAUCUCCACCACCCACAAAUCCACUUCUUCUCAGUAUGGAUGAAAAUGAUUCAGUCUCUGAAUUCCUGGAAACUGCUGUUGAAGCAGCUAAGAGCGCUGGCGAGGUUAUCCGCAAAGGAUUUUACCAGACCAAGCAUGUCGAGCACAAAGGCCAGGUUGAUUUAGUCACAGAAACUGAUAAGGCUUGUGAAGAUGAUGAAAUGUGAAAGCACCGCUACCCUACUCACAAGUUCAUUGGGGAAGAAACUACUGCUGCCUAUGG
rnacentral:misc_RNA from 1 species